CGCCAAUGGCCUGAAUGUUCUACAGGCGGCGACGGGUAACCGGCCUGAGAGGGCGACCGGUCACACUGGGACUGAGACACGGCCCAGACUCCUACGGGAGGCAGCAGUGGGGAAUAUUGCACAAUGGGCGCAAGCCUGAUGCAGCGACGCCGCGUGAGGGAUGACGGCCUUCGGGUUGUAAACCUCUUUCAGCAGGGACGAAGCGAGAGUGACGGUACCUGCAGAAGAAGCGCCGGCCAACUACGUGCCUGCAGCCGCGGUAAUACGUAGGGCGCAAGCGUUGUCCGGAAUUAUUGGGCGUAAAGAGCUCGUAGGCGGUUUAUCACGUCGGCUGUGAAAUCCCGAGGCUUAACCUCGGGCUUGCAGUCGAUACGGGUUGACUAGAGUGAAGCAGGGGAGACUGGAAUUCCUGGUGUAGCGGUGAAAUGCGCAGAUAUCAGGAGGAACACCGAUGGCGAAGGCAGGUCUCUGGGCUUUAACUGACGCUGAGGAGCGAAAGCGUGGGUAGCGAACAGGAUUAGAUACCCUGGUAGUCCACGCCGUAAACGGUGGGCGCUAGGUGUGGGGACCAUUCCACGGUUUCCGUGCCGCAGCUAACGCAUUAAGCGCCCCGCCUGGGGAGUACGGCCGCAAGGCUAAAACUCAAAGGAAUUGACGGGGGCCCGCACAAGCGGCGGAGUAUGUUGCUUAAUUCGAUGCAACGCGAAGAACCUUACCAAGGCUUGACAUAUACCGAAAACUCAUAGAGAUAUGGGGUCCUUUUGGGCGGUAUACAGGUGGUGCAUAGUUGUCGUCAGCUCGUGUCGUGAGAUGUUGGGUUAAGUCCCGCAACGAGCGCAACCCUCGUUCUAUGUUGCCAGCACGUAGUGGUGGGGACUCAUAGGAGACCGCCGGGGUCAACUCGGAAGGAAGUGGGGGAUGACGUCAAAUCCUCAUGCCCCUAUGUCUUGGCCUGCAACAUACUACAAU
rnacentral:rRNA from 1 species